rnacentral:rRNA from 1 species
GACGAACGCUGGCGGCGCGCUUAACACAUGCAAGUCGAGCGAAGCGGCGGACGGGUGAGUAACACGUGAGUAACCUGCCUUAGACAUUGGGAUAGCCUCGGGAAACCGGGAUUAAUACCAAAUGGUCUAAGAUGGACUCGCGUCCCAUUAGCUAGUUGGUGAGGUAACGGCCCACCAAGGCGACGAUGGGUAGCCGGCCUGAGAGGGUGAACGGCCACAUUGGAACUGAGAAACGGUCCAAACUCUACGGGAGGCAGCAGUGGGGAAUAUUGCACAAAGGAGGGAACUCUGAUGCAGGCACGCAGCGUGAACGAAGAAGGCUUUCGGAUCGUAAAGCUCUGUUGUGAAGGAAGGAGAAUGGAAAGUUCAUGCUGUACGUACUUAACCAGAAAGGGACGGCUAACUACGUGCCAGCAGCCGCGGUAAUAC